ensembl:lncRNA
CACCCAUCACCAGUACUUAGUGCUUCGUCAUUGUGACUGCGUCACCGCCUCCCUGUGGAAACCCCAUCGAUACUUUCCAACUAGUCUUGAAGGUAAACACCGGAAUUAUGGCAGCAAGCUGAAGGUGGAGAAGACGCACAGAGGAGACUGCUACGUGUUCAGGAGCUUUUCGCGGCGUGUUUUCUUCACGGCGGUGGUUCAUGAAGAGUUCACUGCAACGCAUUUAGAAGGAUUAUGCGAGGUCAGGAGUAUUUGUGGUAAGGAAAACAAAAAGAUAAGUAGAACUGCUGACCUACUGCAGUAAUAUGACUUCAUAACAAGAAAGAAAAAUGCCCACAAAUGAAUGCAGAGGUGUGUCGUUAGGCUGCUCCCAGUACCUCAAACCUCCCGGGCCCUAAAUACUUUACAUACUUAGCAUAAUAGGAAGAAUGCAGGUAGCAGCAGUGGUGUAGUAACUGUGUAAAAACUCAACGCCUGUUUGUUAAUGUGGAGAAAAAGAAGCCGAGAAAGAAAACAUUUGGUGAUGUAAUUACUUUGAGCGGACAGCUGAUAAGUCACCUAUAACCAGGCCCAUUCCCCUUCCUUUCAUGUGCUUCAAAUGAUGCUAGCACUGCAUGCUACUUCUUAACAGGCAGUGCCAUUUAUUAAUAUCAUGUAUAAUAUUAUUGUCUACCUCAGCUUUUAACUAAAUCCUUAAAAUCUGUACUGUUUAAACAGAAAAGUGUUUUUUUUAUUGAUGCACUUUUGUCCCCCUCUCCCUCUUUCUGUCUUGACCUGGUCACUCCAUCUGCGACUGCGCAUGCAUUAUGAAAUGACCUUCUACGUGGAUAUAAUGUGAGUAUUAUCCCAUUUAAUUUGAAUGAAAGGCAUUCGUGCUGUGCUUUGUGAGUGCUCUGCUGAAGCCCUACAAUGAUUUUUUUUUACCCUGUCAUGUGCACCAGUGAUGUCCUCCUAAUGCACCUGAAUGCAAUUCAUAGUUAAUGCAGAGUGUUUGUAUAAUUAAAUAGCUGCACAGAUGCUUUUCACUUAUAUUGAGGAAGCAUUUCCCUAAAGACGUAGCUCA